rnacentral:snRNA from 1 species
UUCUGCUUCUAAAACGAUUGUUA